rnacentral:rRNA from 1 species
UACGUAGGGGGCAAGCGUUGUCCGGAAUCAUUGGGCGUAAAGAGCGUGUAGGCGGUCCGGUAAGUCGGCUGUGAAAGUCCAGGGCUCAACCCUGGGAUGCCGGUCGAUACUGCCGGACUAGAGUUCGGAAGAGGCGAGUGGAAUUCCCGGUGUAGCGGUGAAAUGCGCAGAUAUCGGGAGGAACACCUAUGGCGAAGGCAGCUCGCUGGGACGUUACUGACGCUGGGACGCGAAAGCGUGGGGAGCAAACAGG